rnacentral:tRNA from 1 species
UAGGGGAACCUGCGGCUGGAUCACCUCCUUUCUAAGGAUGAUCCUUCAGCGAGCUCACGCUCACUAUCGGAUCGUUUUAGAAACAUCAGUGGCCAACAGAUCGCCAGAUCGUUGAGCUGCAUUGGCGGGAUUUCGCCGUCUUCGUUUCUCUUUCUUCGCGGACGAACACGCGCUGGGCCUGCAACGGCAGGGUCCAGGGUCCUUAACGGGAUGUGCGUUAGGGGCUUGUAGCUCAGUUGGUUAGAGCGCGCGCUUGAUAAGCGUGAGGUCGGAAGUUCAAGUCUUCCCAGGCCCACCACACUCAUCGAGUGAGCAUUCGUCUUCUGGUUACGGGGCCAUAGCUCAGCUGGGAGAGCGCGUGCUUUGCAAGCAUGAGGUCGUCGGUUCGAUCCCGUCUGGCUCCACCAGAUGGUUUGAUCACCGAGAUCUUGUACCGUCGUCCGCGAAACAUCACUUCGCAUUCACUAGUCUGGAUAGACAGUGAACUGCGUGUUUUCUGACAUCGUAAAGAGGAGAUCGAUCCGAGUUGGGUCGUGUAGCAGAUUGCUGCGCGAGCCUUCAUUAUCUCCGGAUCAUUUUCGGCGCUCGCGUCCGACCGCAAGGUUGGCUCGCGAGUUGUAAAAUGAUCCUUUUAGCGAAGCUUGACCGCCUCGCUAUCGGAACGAUCUUACGAAGCAAGCUGGUCUUUCUAGUCAAUGUCCGGCUGCAGAUAGCGUUCAUCGAGGGCGCGUGCCGCAAGGCAGUUCUGCAGACAACAUUCUGCCGAGUGUGUGGACAUUGAUAAUGAGAGCAAUCAAGUGCCUUAAGGGUGU